rnacentral:rRNA from 1 species
CGAACGCUGGCGGCGUGCCUAACACAUGCAAGUCGAACGUGAAAGCGGACUUCGGUCCGUCGGUAGCGUGGCAGACGGGUGAGUAACACGUGGGUAACCUACCCAGAGGUGGGGGAUAACCCUUCGAAAGGAGGGCUAAUACCGCAUAACAUCCCGAGGUCUUCGGGCUUCGGGAUCAAAGCUAGCCUCUACUUGUAAGCUAGCGCCACUGGAGGGGCCCGCGUCCCAUUAGCUUGUUGGUGAGGUAAAGGCUCACCAAGGCCACGAUGGGUAGCCGGCCUGAGAGGGCGAUCGGCCACACUGGAACUGAGACACGGUCCAGACUCCUACGGGAGGCAGCAGUGAGGAAUCUUGCGCAAUGGGCGAAAGCCUGACGCAGCGACGCCGCGUGGAGGAUGAAGGCCUUCGGGUCGUAAACUCCUGUCGAGAGGGACGAAAGUCGGGGAGGUCAAUAGCCUCUUCGGUUGACGGUACCUCCAAAGGAAGCCCCGGCUAACUCC